rnacentral:rRNA from 1 species
AUUGAACGCUGGCGGCAUGCUUAACGCAUGCAAGUCGAACGGCAGCACGAGGGGGUAACCCCUGGGUGGCGAGUGGCGAACGGGUGAGUAACGCGUAGGAAUCUGCCUUGUAGAGGGGGAUAACCCGGGGAGACCCGGACUAAUACCGCAUAAGCUCUAAGGAGGAAAGCAGGGGAUCGUAAGACCUUGUGCUACAAGAUGAGCCUGCGUUAGAUUAGCUAGUUGGUAGGGUAAAGGCCUACCAAGGCGACGAUCUAUAGCUGGUCUGAGAGGAUGAUCAGCCACACUGGAACUGGGACACGGUCCAGACUCCUACGGGAGGCAGCAGUGGGGAAUAUUGGACAAUGGGCGCAAGCCUGAUCCAGCAAUGCCGCGUGUGUGAAGAAGGCCUGAGGGUUGUAAAGCACUUUCGGAAGGGAGGAAGGUCUGUGGUUUAAUACACCACGGAAUUGACGUUACCUUCAUAAGAAGCACCGGCUAACUCUGUGCCAGCAGCCGCCGUAACAC